AGAGUUUGAUCCUGGCUAGGAUGAACGCUGGCGGCAGGCUUAAUACAUGCAAGUCGAACGGUAACAUGCCGGUAGCAAUACUGGUGAUGACGAGUGGCGCACGGGUGCGUAACGCGUAUGCAACCUACCCCCAACCGGAACAAAACGUUGAGAAAUCGGCGCUAAUAUUCCAUGUGGACCCGGUGGGGCAUCCCAUUGGGUUUAAAGAUUCAUUGGUUGGGGAUGGGCAUGCGUAUCAUUAGCUAGUUGGCGGGGUAACGGCUCACCAAGGCGACGAUGAUUAGGGGUUCUGAGAGGAUGGUCCCCCACACUGGAACUGAGACACGGUCCAGACUCCUACGGGAGGCAGCAGUAGGGAAUAUUGGGCAAUGGAAGCAAUUCUGACCCAGCCAUGCCGCCGUGCAGGAAGAAGGCCCUAUGGGUUUUAAACUGCUUUUGCCGCAGAGUAACCGCCGGGACGAGUCCCGGCCUGAGAGUAUGCGGCGAAUAAGUAUCGGCUAACUCCGUGCCAGCCGCCGC
rnacentral:rRNA from 1 species